rnacentral:rRNA from 1 species
UACGUAGGGGGCAAGCGUUGUCCGGAGUUACUGGGCGUAAAGCGCACGCAGGCGGUCUCUUAAGUUUGGAGUGACAGUUGGUGGCUUAACUGCCAAAGUGCUUCGAAAACUGAGAGACUUGAGGGCUUCAGAGGGACACGGAAUUCCGGGUGGAGCGGUGAAAUGCGUAGAGAUCCGGAGGAACACCGACGGCGCAGGCAGCGUCCUGGCCGCUUGCUGACACUGAGGCACGAAAGCUGGGGGAGCAAACAGG